UACGGAGGGUGCGAGCGUUGUCCGGAAUCACUGGGCGUAAAGGGCGCGUAGGCGGCGCGGGAAGUCAACGGUGAAAGCUUGGGGCUCAACUCCGAGUCGGCCGUCGAUACUCCCCGUGCUCGAGCACUGUAGAGGCAGAUGGAAUUCCGGGGUGUAGCGGUGGAAUGGCGUAGAGAUCCGGAAGAACACCGGUGGCGAAGGCGGUCUG
rnacentral:rRNA from 1 species